AACGAACGCUGGCGGCAGGCUCAACACAUGCAAGUCGAACGCCCCGCAAGGGGAGUGGCAGACGGGUGAGUAACGCGUGGGAACAUACCCUUUCCUGCGGAAUAGCUCCGGGAAACUGGAAUUAAUACCGCAUACGCCCUACGGGGGAAAGAUUUAUCGGGGAAGGAUUGGCCCGCGUUGGAUUAGCUAGUUGGUGGGGUAAAGGCCUACCAAGGCGACGAUCCAUAGCUGGUCUGAGAGGAUGAUCAGCCACAUUGGGACUGAGACACGGCCCAAACUCCUACGGGAGGCAGCAGUGGGGAAUAUUGGACAAUGGGCGCAAGCCUGAUCCAGCCAUGCCGCGUGAGUGAUGAAGGCCUUAGGGUUGUAAAGCUCUUUCACUGAUGAAGAUAAUGACGGUAGUCGGAGAAGAAGCCCCGGCUAACUUCGUGCCAGCCGCCGCGGUAACAC
rnacentral:rRNA from 1 species